rnacentral:lncRNA from 1 species
UUUUACUUUUCUUUGAUGAUCAGGAACUAAUUAAUAAAACAGAGAUGUAGUACUCGAGCCUAUACUUGGAACUAAGUUAAGGGGAUCAGACUCUCCGAUUUUUGGGAACAUUCCCCGUUUUGGGUGACCUGUCACGUUCGUCAAAGGUGUAUAAAGCUUCUGACCACUGAGAAAUAUAGUCACCUUAAACUGAACAGACUAUGACUUGAUUUGUACACAGUAAAAGUGAACUCGAUUAGAGCUCUGACUUCAAUUGCUUAUAAUAUUUAUGAUUCGUUUAUGUGUUUUUUCAUUCCUUUAAAGAUAUCUCUUUGUUAGAGGUAGUGAUGGACCUCCAAUGAAUCAUCCUUCUCAAUCUCUGUUAACAACAAGAAACGGCAAUAAAGUAACAUUUUUCAAUGUCUUUUUGACAAUUUUUAUCAUCAAUAUUUUGUUUGAGAAUACCACUUUUUAUAUGAUCAUUUAUCAUGUCAGUGUAAAUGUAGCUACUAGCUACACAAUAUCAAUAUCUAGUCUAUUCUUAAAGGCAAAUAAAGGAUGUUAGGUAGAAAA